rnacentral:tRNA from 1 species
GGGAAAGUGGCUCAGUGGUAGAGAGCUUGCCUUGCAUGCAGGAGGCCCUGGGUUCAAUUCCUCAGCACCA